rnacentral:lncRNA from 1 species
UUGAGGAAAAUAUUGUUUAUUUCAUUUAUUAUCACGAAGUACAUCUAGGAUGUUAUAAUGAUAAUAUAAAAUAGAAGUAUUGCUUACGAUAUAAAGAGGACAAAACGUGCAAAAUUGUAAUUACAAGAGAACAAAAGAGUAGUUGAGAACUAAAGGAUAUAAGAUUUGUUUGUUAUGACAUUCGGAGAAGGUGGAAAAGAUAAGGAUCAUACAUUUGUGA